UAGUUUGACUCCUGGCUCAGGACGAACGCUGGCGGCGUGCUUAACACAUGCAAGUCGAACGGAGAAUCUGCGGAACGAGGAUUCGUCCAAGUGAAGCAGAGGCAGUGGGCGGACGGGUGAGUAACGCGUGAGGUACCCUGGCCUUUCGAGAGGGGACAACAGUUGGAACACUGCUAUACCGCAUGACACAUAGGAUGGUACGC
rnacentral:rRNA from 1 species